AUAUGCGCAGUCGGACGCGCCGAAGAUGUCAAUUUCCUGAAUUUUUUUUAUUUACAACCAUUUUUCCGACAACAUUAGUAGGUUAUAAGUAAUUAUAUUCUUAAUCAAAAAAUCAAAGUGUCGGACAAAAAUAUUGGGGCAACUCGACAGUCGGACAAAAAAUUUAAUUUUUAUUAGUAAACUAUACUUUCUCCAAUUAUGCUGGGUUCGUGCAUCCCUUAUUUUACAACCAUUUUUCAGACAAAAAUAGUAGGUUACAAGUAAUUAUAUUCUUAAACAAAAAAUGUAAUUGUCUGACAAAAAUGUUGGGGCAAACGAACAGAAAACUUAAUUCUUUUAGGCUAUCGACGAGGAGGUAUUAUCAAAAAGAAAUUUUAAAACAGAGUUUCUCGGUUACUUUUGAAUCGAUUUAGCUGAAAAUUGGUACACAGACUAAGUAAAGCAUUUAAAAGGGUAUGACGUAGGUCGUAACCCAAAAUUUUCUUAAAAAAUUUUGCGACAAGAGGGAAAAUUUUAGAAAAAUUGUGAUCUGAUAAUGUGUGUAUAUACUCCUUGAACAACGACAAACAUCGUUCUGUAUUUUUUUCUCGAAUUAAAAAAAAAUUUUCAGCACAUGUAUCAGGUUAUAAGUAGUUAUAUUCCAAAUCAAAAAAUCUAAGUGCCCGACAUAAAUAGUGGGGCACAUCCAAAGUCGGACAAAAAAUUUAAUUUUUAUUAAUAAACUACACUUUUAAACUAUUCUGGGUUCGUGCAUCCCUUAUCUUUACAACCAUUUUUCCGACAAAAGUAGUAGGAUACAAGUAAUUAUACUCUUAAACAAAAAAUGUAAUUGUCUGACAAAAAUGUUGGGGCAAACGAACAGGAAACUUAAUUCUUUUAGGCUAUGGACGAGGAGGUAUUAUCCAAAAAUAUUUUAAAACAGAUUUUCUCGGUUAUUUUUGAAUCGAUUUAGCUGAAAAUUGGUACACACACUAAGUAAAACAUUUAAAAGGGUAUGACGUAGAGCUGUACCCAAAAUUUUCCCAAAAAAAUUUCGGACAAGAGGGAAAAUUUUAGAAAAAUUGUGAUCUGAUAUUUGCUUACAUACUCCUUGAACAACGACAAACAUCGUUCUGUAUUUUUUUUCCAAUUAAAAAAAUUUCCGACACAAGUAUAAGGUUAUAAGUAGUUAUAUUGUAAAUCACAAAAUCUAAGUGUCCGACAAAAAUAAUGGGUCAAAUCCAAAGUCGGACAAAAAAUUUAAUUUUUAUUAAUAAACUGUCUUUUAAAAAAUACUGGGUUCGUGCAACCCUUACCUUUAAAACCAUUUUUCCGACAACAUUAGUAGGUUAUAAGUAAUUAUAUUCUUAAUCAAAAAAUCAAAGUGUCGGAAAAAAAUAUUGGGGCAACUCGACAGUCGGACAAAAAAUUUAAUUUUUAUUAGGAAACUAUACUUUCAAAUUAUUCUGGGUUCGUGCAUCCCUUAUCUUUACAAACAUUGUUCCGACAAAAGUAGUAGGUUACAAGUAAUUAUAUUCUUAAACAAAAAAUGUAAUUGUCUGACAAAAAUGUUGGGGCAAACGAACAGAAAACUUAAUUCUUUUAGGCUAUCGACGAGGAGGUAUUAUCAAAAAAAAAAUUUAAAACGCUGUUUCUCGGUUACUUUUCAAUCGAUUUAGCUGAAAAGUGGUACACACACUAAGUAAAGCAUUUAAAAGGGUAUGACGUAGAUCGGAACCCAAAAUUUUCUUAAAAAAUUUUCCGACAAGAGGGAAAAUUUUAGAAAAAUUGUGAUCUGAUAAUUUGUGUACAUACUCCUUGAACAACGACAAACAUCGUUCUGUAUUUUUUCUCGAAUUGAAAAAAAAUUUCAGCCCAUGUAUCAGGUUAUAAGUAGUUAUAUUCCAAAUCAAAAAAUCUAAGUGCCCGACAUAAAUAGUGGGGCACAUCCAAAGUCGGACAAAAAAUUUAAUUUUUAUUAAUAAACUAUACUGUUAAACUAUUCUGGGUUCGUGCAUCCCUUAUCUUUACAACCAUUUUUCCGACAAUAGUAGUAGGAUACAAGUAAUUAUACUCUUAAACAAAAAAUGUAAUUGUCUGACAAAAAUGUUGGGGCAAACGAACAGGAAACUUAAUUCUUUUAGGCUAUGGACGAGGAGGUAUUAUCCAAAAAUAUUUUAAAACAGUUUUUCUCGGUUAUUUUUGAAUCGACUUAGCUGAAAAUUGGUACACACACUAAGUAAAACAUUUAAAAGGGUAUGGCGUAGAGCUGUACCCAAAAUUUUCCCAAAAAAAUUUCGGACAAGAGGGAAAAUUUUAGAAAAAUUGUGAUCUGAUAUUUGCGUACAUACUCCUUGAACAACGACAAACAUAGUUCUGUAGUUUUUUUUCUCGAAAUAAAAAAAAAUUCCGACACAAAUCGGGUUAUAAGUAGUUUUAUUCCAAAUCAAAAAAUCUAAGUGUCGGACAAAAAUAUUGGGGCAAAUCCAAAGUCGGACAAAAAAUUUAAUGUUUAUUAAUAAAAUAUACUUUUAAGUUAUGCUGGGUUCGUGCAUCCCUUAUAUUUACAACCAUUUUUCCGACAAAGUAGUAAGUUACAACUAAUUAUAUUCUUAACCAAAACAUGUAACUGUCUGACAAAAAUGUUGGGGCAAACGAACAGAAAACUUCAUUAUUUUAGGCUAUCGACGAGGAGGUAUUAUCAAAAAAAAUUUAAAACAGUUUUUCUCGGUUAUUUUUAGAUCGAUUUAGCUGAAAAUUGUUACACACAUUAAGUAAAAAAUUUAAAAGGGUAUGACUUGGAGAAUGGAGAAGAAGACACAAUGAUGAACUCCAGGUAAUAUACGGAGAUGAAAACAUAGUACGCUACAUUAAAUCAAACAGAAUACGAUGGGCGGGUCACGUACUAAGAUCAAGUGACGAAAGACUUCUAAACGCCACAUUCUGGGAAAGGCCCGAUGGAAAGAGGUCAGUUGGUCGCCCAAGAAAGAGAUGGAAGGACGCAGUAGCCAGCGAUCUACGCAAAAUGGGAGUACAGCAAUAGGAAAUAGCUGCUCAGGACCGACAACAAUGGAGGGAAAUAGUAAACGCGGCCAAGACUCACAUAGAGUUGUAGAGCCAAAUGAUGAUGAUGAUGAUGAUGAUGACUUAGAGUUGUACCCAAAAUUAAUUUUGGGUAUUAACUACAGUUACAUUAUUAACUACAUUUUUUAACUACAGUUAAGAAUUUAUUAUUCACCAUUGGCGCGCAUACGGGUAAUAUGAGCCGAAAAAUACGUAAUUUAAUAUGAAGUCAAAAAUGUAUAAAAAUUAUUUUUUUUUAAAUUGUACCAAAACGCCCCAUUAUUUUUGUCCGACAAGUGAUCCAAUAUGCAUUACACAUGUAAAAAAACAGUACAAAAUAAAAAUAACAUCUGUGGUAAUAAAUAAAAAAUUUUCAGGAAAUUGACAUUUUCAGCGCGUCCGACUGCGCAUAUGCCCCGUGAAAAUUGUCCGACAAGGUUACCACAUUAUUGUAAAAAGGUUUUAUGGUAGAUUUCGUUAAAAUUAGCUAUGUGGUAAUAAAUUUAUUAUUUUCAUAAAUUUUAAGUUAUUUUUCGGGUGUAACUACAAUGAUAUUAUGCUAAAAAUGAUGGUGUAUCGCAUAUUUAAAAUGCGUUUAUCUCGAAAACGGUUGAGUUUAGGAAGAUGAAAGAAGUAUACCUUUUUUAAGUAAAACUAAUAGGAAAAUAAAA